GGAUGAUAUGCGUAAGUUGUAGAAAGAGAAGAAAAGGGAAGAAAAACAAAGCUUUCUUUAUCUAUUUAUAGUCUCUAAAUUGGUCCAUUGCUUUUCCCAGCAAGCAUUACUAGCUUCUAGCAAUUUAACAAUGGCUUCUGAGAAGGUUGAGACUGUGAUAGCAGGAAACUACAUAGAAAUGGAGAGAGAAGAAGAAAAUUCAAGGUCCACUAAGAGCAAAAUAACACAGUUGUUUUGGCAUGGUGGUUCAGUCUAUGAUGCUUGGUUUAGCUGCGCUUCUAACCAGGCAAUACUAUUAAAUAUUCAUGCUAAUUAGUUAACUAGCUAUUGUUUUCUUAUUUUCUCCGUUAUAUUUGUCAUCUAAGUUAAUUCUUGAUUCUUUAUGAUGUGAAUUUUGCAGGUUGCACAAGUGCUUCUCACACUGCCUUACUCAUUUUCACAACUUGGAAUGCUAUCUGGAAUUCUCUUUCAACUCUUCUAUGGUUUGAUGGGAAGCUGGACUGCUUACCUUAUAAGUAUUCUAUAUGUUGAGUACAGAACUAGAAAGGAGAGGGAAAAGGUUGAUUUUAGGAAUCAUGUAAUUCAGUGGUUUGAAGUUCUUGAUGGGUUACUGGGUCCAUAUUGGAAGGCAGUAGGACUUGCCUUCAACUGUACUUUCCUCCUCUUUGGAUCUGUCAUUCAGCUAAUUGCUUGUGCAAGGCAAGUCCAUUUCUUCAUUUUUUUAGUCUUUAACCAGUAAACAUCGGAUCUGGGCUUUGUUCCAUUGAUUGUUUAAACUAUUGUUUCCUUGACGAUAACACAGUAACAUAUAUUACAUCAACGACCAUUUGGACAAGAGGACAUGGACAUACAUUUUUGGAGCUUGCUGUGCUACUACAGUUUUCAUACCUUCCUUUCACAACUACCGGAUUUGGUCUUUUCUUGGCCUUGGCAUGACCACGUACACUGCCUGGUACCUCACCAUAGCAGCACUUCUUCAUGGCCAGGUUGAAGGAGUAACACACACGGGUCCAAAAAAAACUGGUGCUUUACUUUACCGGAGCAACCAACAUU
rnacentral:misc_RNA from 1 species